GACGAACGCUGGCGGCGUGCCUAAUACAUGCAAGUCGAGCGAAGCGGCGGAUUGUUGAGUAACGCGUGGGUAACCUGCCCUUCAGUCUGGGAUACCAUUUGGAAACAGAUGCUAAUACCGGAUACUAAAGGAUUAACCUGCGAUUCAUUAGCUAGUUGGUAAGGUAACGGCUUACCCAGGCGAUGAUGCAUAGCCGGGUGGAGAGGCGGAUCGGCCACAUUGGGACUGAGACACGGCCCAAACUCCUACGGGGGGCAGCAGUAGGGAAUCUUCCACAAUGGACGAAAGUCUGAUGGAGCAAUGCCGCGUGAGUGAAGAAGGUUUUCGGAUCGUAAAGCUCUGUUGUUGGUGAAGCGGUAAUCAACCAGAAAGGCACGGCUAACUACGUGCCAGCAGCCGCGGUAAUUC
rnacentral:rRNA from 1 species